UACAAGGAGAAUGAAGACUCACCAAAAGCAUCAGGACAGAACUUCACCAUCACUGACUUCAGAGCUGAACACAGUGGGAAUUAUUACUGUGAAGCCCUGAACAGAAGAGGACGUCAUAACUCCACCUUACAUCUGAUUGUUGUGGCAGGUUCAUUGAAAUUUCCGGUUGUUCUAUCAGUCAGUGCUGUUGUUCUGGUCUUUAUACUUCUUCUCUCUGUCUUCAUAUGGAUUAGAAAGAGCUCCUUGCAAAAACAACCUGAGGCUGAUGAGACACCACACAACAGAGCAGAGGUACAAACAAAAACAUGCUGUUCAGUCACCGGUCAGCUGGUCAUCUCAUUGGUGCAUCACUUUCUUCUUUGACUACUUUAUCCACCAAAUUAACCACAUCCUCCUUUAUCUAUCACCCUCCCUACUAGCAUCAUUCUCUUGUUACACCUGAUAACCUCAUGGCCAGACGUAAGAUAAUGUGUAAGUUUAAGAUUCUAUCUUAAGUCACGUUUUAUAAAUGAACGGCAUUUAUUUUUAUAGUUUUUAGACAGGAGAAAAAAUCUGACUCACACCUGGUUUACCUGAAAGAUUAAAGGAGUU